GGUAAGAUAAACCAUACACUUCUAAAUUGUAGAAAUUUUAUACCGUUAUUUUAUAAAUGGUUCUUAUAUACUAAACUUACUGCGUUUUCAAUGUUUUAAAUAUAUAAUAUUGAAUUCUUAUAAUUCCAAAAUAAAUGAAAUAAAAUAUCAACCAUAAAUUAUUUGUUGAUUCACGCGUCUUUGGUGGCGACCGUGGAAGUUCUUAUUAUUUAGAAUUGUAGAAGAAACCAAAUACAUCUAUUGAUACGACUGCGAGAAUGAACAGUAGCACAUUAUUUCUGAAAUCCACUAAAAUUAUAUCUUCUUUGCAGAUGGCGAAAAUUAUGUUUACUCUUUUAAUGGUGAUACUGAUGUUAUGCAUCAUUUCUGACGAAAUAUCAGCUAAAUAUUUUUUAGACUGGCAUCGUCACGAUGCACCCAGAUCACCAUCACCUAGUAGAGGAGGGCGUAGAAGCUGGAAGAAACGGGAUAUCGUAGAACACAUAGAUGAUGUGGAGAAGAUCCAACGAUAUGUACAUGACGGAAUGGAAGAUCCUUAAAGAACAAUAUUAACAGGCAAAUGUACUCCAACGAGAGUACCAGUGAAUGUGUAAGAUGAAGCUGACUAAAAAACAUAAUGCAGACAUUUCUGAUAUAUUAUUGUUUAUUUGAAGAGUUACUAAACAACUUAAAAUGGUA